CUUCCUACGGGAGGCAGCAGUGGGGAAUAUUGCGCAAUGGGGGAAACCCUGACGCAGCAACGCCGCGUGCAGGAAGAAGGUCUUCGGAUUGUAAACUGUUGUCGCAGGGGAAGAAGACAGUGGCGGUACCCUGUGAGAAAGUCACGGCUAACUACGUGCCAGCAGCCGCGGGAAUAAGUAGGGGACAAGCGGUGUCCGGAUUUACUGGGGGUAAAGGGGGCGUAGGCGGGAUAGCAAGUCAGUCGUGAAAUGCCGAGGCUUAACCUCGGAGCUGGGAUUGAAACUGUUAUUCUUGAGUAUCGGGG
rnacentral:rRNA from 1 species